rnacentral:tmRNA from 1 species
GGGGCUGUAAAGGUUUCGACGGGGUUUUUGAAAUAGAGUAAGCCACUGGUAGCGGGUAACUACCUAAAAAGAUCCAAUUAAAAAUAAACGCUAAAAAUAAUAAAUUAGCUUUAGCUGCCUAAGUUGCAGCUCGUCGGCCGGCAGAGGCCCGCUGCUGCCGCACCGGCGUCAUCAUUGCGGGAAACUCUGUACCCUAAGCUUUGCAGGCACAGAACAUUGAUGAAGCUACUCUGAUCGGAAGUCUGUCAUUGGGGAUCCGGGCAGGGGAAUCAAAAUUUCAAUGACUAUAGUGGAAGAAAGCUUUACGGAUGAGGUUUCGGACGGGGGUUCGAUUCCCCCCAGCUCCAUAA